rnacentral:rRNA from 1 species
GGCAAUAACGUGCAAGGAGCGCGGGUAUGACGUGGGUGGACAGCUUGGUCGGGAAUUACGGGGCGGAAAGGAGGCGGAGGUGGAUACGUAAGGGGGAUGAGAAAUCCCCGGGCUCAACCCGGGAACUGCAUGCCAAACGGGGUAUCGAGAGUGCAGAAGAGGAAAGCGGAAUUCCUAGUGUAGCGGUGAAAUGCGUAGAUAUUAGGAGGAACACCAGUGGCGAAGGCGGCUUUCUGGACUGUAACUGACACUGAGGCAUGAAAGCGUGGGUAGCAAACAGGAUUAGAUACCCUGGUAGUC